GGAUUUAGAGUUUGGUUAAGAUUUUAUUUAGGGUUUAGGAUUUGAUUAGGAUUUAAUUAGGGUUUUAUUUAGGAUUUGCUUAGGAUUUAAGAUUUAGUUAGGAUUUGAUUUAGGAUUUAGGAUUUGGUUUAGGAUUUGGUUAGAGUUUGGUUUAGGAUUUGAUUAGGAUUUGAUUUAGGGUUUAGGAUUUGAUUUAGGAUUUAGGAUUUUAUUAGGAUUUCUUUAGGGUUUAAGAUUUAAUUAAUUUUGGCCUAAAGUUUGAAUGAAGUUCAAUAGGAUUUUAACUAGGAUUAAAUUAAGAUUGAAUUGAGAUGUAUUUGAGAUAUAUUUGUGAUCAUUCUAAUAUUUCUUUAAGUUUUCUUAAUAUUUCUUUGAAAUUUCUUUGAGGUUUCUUUGAAUUUGAUCAAAGCUUUCUUAGCAUUAUUAUGGUCUAAUUAGUGUUUAGUUAAUAUUCUAUUAGAGUUAGGAUUUUGUUGUUGCAAUUUCCAUUCUACCUUCUUUGGCAAGAUGCCUAGAGCAUUCUCAAGCAAGACUUCACGUAUUACGACAACGUAAUAUAAUAUUGGCUCUUAGUUAAAUUAAUUACAAUUCUUGAGAUUGAAUCAAGGAGAAAUUUAUCCUAAUCUAAUUCUUAAGUCUUUGUGAUGGCUCUCAUUA
rnacentral:lncRNA from 1 species